rnacentral:lncRNA from 10 species
AGAGCAUCCAGUGCCUUGCUGAUGGAAAAGCCACCGCUGCUGAGAAAGGCAGCUGUGCCUGGGCCCCGCAGGUCACACUGGAGUCCUCACCUCCAUCUCUGCAUUCUGGUGCAUUUGGAAGAGGAUUUCUAGAGGUGGGAGAGGAGAUGUAACUUCCCCCACCUCCUUCGCAUCUUCUAACAGUUGCAGCCUCCUCUGCUUUGCGCAUUCACAGGGAGGAGCAUGGGCAGCACCUGCAUGGGCAGGAGAAUGGCUGGAACCUGGGAGGUGGAGGUUACAGUGAGCCGAGAUCAUGCUACUGAACUCUAGCCCCUGGGUGACAGAGCGGGACUCUGUCUCAAACAAACAAACAAAAAACAAACUCCAAAACCAAAAAACAAACAAAAAACCCAAAACAAAAAACAAACCGAAAUGCAAAUACUAGGAUGUUUAUGUAUCUUAACAUGUUAAAUUUAGUAUAAGAAAUAAUUGUAAAUCAUAAUUUGUGCUGGCAUAUAGCCCUCUUGUUUGAUAUGAGUGAAACUAAUCAUUGAAUAAUUAAUUUGAAAAAUUAAAGUGGGAAAUUACUAG